GAUGAACGCUGGCGGCGUGCUUAACACAUGCAAGUCGAGCGAAGCAGUUAAGAAGAUUCUUCGGAUGAUUCUUAACUGACUGAGCGGCGGACGGGUGAGUAACGCGUGGGUGACCUGCCCCAUACCGGGGGAUAACAGCUGGAAACGGCUGCUAAUACCGCAUAAGCGCACAGAGCUGCAUGGCUCGGUGUGAAAAACUCCGGUGGUAUGGGAUGGGCUCGCGUCUGAUUAGGCAGUUGGCGGGGUAACGGCCCACCAAACCGACGAUCAGUAGCCGGCCUGAGAGGGCGACCGGCCACAUUGGGACUGAGACACGGCCCAAACUCCUACGGGAGGCAGCAGGGGGGAAUAUUGCACAAUGGGGGAAACCCUGAUGCAGCGACGCCGCGUGAGCGAAGAAGUAUUUCGGUAUGUAAAGCUCUAUCAGCAGGGAAGAUAAUGACGGUAC
rnacentral:rRNA from 1 species